rnacentral:rRNA from 1 species
AGUGGCGGACGGGUGAGUAACACGUAGGUAACCCGUCCAGAAGCGGGGGACAACAUUUGGAAACAGAUGCUAAUACCGCAUAACAGCGUUGUUCGCAUGAACAACGCUUAAAACAUGGCUUCUCGCUAUCACUUCUGGAUGGACCUGCGGUGCAUUAGCUUGUUGGUGGGGUAACGGCCUACCAAGGCGAUGAUGCAUAGCCGAGUUGAGAGACUGAUCGGCCACAAUGGGACUGAGACACGGCCCAUACUCCUACGGGAGGCAGCAGUAGGGAAUCUUCCACAAUGGGCGCAAGCCUGAUGGAGCAACACCGCGUGAGUGAAGAAGGGUUUCGGCUCGUAAAGCUCUGUUGUUAAAGAAGAACACGUAUGAGAGUAACUGUUCAUACGUUGACGGUAUUUAACCAGAAAGUCACGGCUAACUACGUGCCAGCAGCCGCGGUAAUACGUAGGUGGCAAGCGUUAUCCGGAUUUAUUGGGCGUAAAGAGAGUGCAGGCGGUUUUCUAAGUCUGAUGUGAAAGCCUUCGGCUUAACCGGAGAAGUGCAUCGGAGACUGGAUAACUUGAGUGCAGAAGAGGGUAGUGGAACUCCAUGUGUAGCGGUGGAAUGCGUAGAUAUAUGGAAGAACACCAGUGGCGAAGGCGGCUACCUGGUCUGCAACUGACGCUGAGACUCGAAAGCAUGGGUAGC